CACAUGGUCCCGAGAGCUGGGAGACAACAAACAGCGCUUAGUGACGGGAAUUACAGCGUGGAUUCUCUCGGCUCAGGGACAAUGCGGCCCCCUCGCCUCAGGGGGGGCCGUGAGGGGACAGCCCCGGUGCCUGCCCUGCCAUGUGGGCCCUGCGGGGACACCCCCUGAUAGACGGGGACCGUGAAGGGACAGCCACUGUUCCCUCCCUUCUCCGAGGGUCGUGAGGCGACAUCCUGACUCCAGUCGGUCGUGAGGGGACACCCCUCUUUCCGCCCUUCCACGGGGGUCGUGAGGAGACACCUUGCAGGAAAAUAUAAGAGAACGUGAGGAAUUAAAUGAAUCAGUUGGAAGAUGGGAGAUCAAAUGCAAGAGAAGUUGGGAGCCUGAUCCUCAGGCCAGAGUCUGUCCUGAAUUGCACUGCUACAAGCUGAAGAGAACAGAAUUCCAUUCUAAGAAUGCAGGUUCUUGGUGGAUACACUAAAUCUACUUGAAGAACCUUAUGCUCCUUAUGGUGACUCGGACACCUCCUUAUCCAGCAGCCUCCAGGCAGCCUGAGCCAUCCUGGAUGAUGAUUAUGAUCUUCAAGAUUCCUUCCAACCCAGGCCAUCUUUGUGAUCCCUGGGCAUACAGAACCAUCAGCUUUGGAAGGAGCUGGAUGCCAACGGUUGUGUGCAUCCAGGAGCUCAGAGGAAUCAGCAAAUCUCCUCCAGCAGAGCUACGAAUCCCCAGUCCAGUUCAUUCAGGCGCAGCGGGACCGCCGGGAAUUAAUCCGAGGGGGAAUGCUGUGAAUUCCUGCGCUCUCUUUCUUUGCUGGGCGCAGCUGGUGGCGGGGCCACUGCCAGAUGAAAGCAGGGCUGUCAGCUCCCAGCAGCUUGGCUCCAGCUGCAUUCCAGGGCACGGACUGGCCUCAGCUGGUCCUCGGGUGCCGCUUCCCUCUGCCAGGUUACCGAGCCCUGGGGUCUCGGAGUGCAGGUGAACACUGCUCACCUGUUUACUCCUCUGGAGAGGUGAGGAAUGAUCAGAAUAUGCAACUCCUUCUGCACAGUGGAGGAAUUAUUUACUGCAGAUACAGACUGACAAUAAAUUAGUACACCCCCAAGAGUCUGGAAGGAACAGAGGAGGAGCAGUGAGUCACUCCUGAGUCAUAGAGCCUCCCCGGAUUUAUCCUGGGAUGAUGUACUGCACGCACCACUCCUUGAUCUGGUCUGUCUCGAAAGGACAACCCUGAAUAUAAUUGUGGAAAAAUAAAU